UACGGAGGGUGCAAGCGUUGUCCGGAUUUAUUGGGUUUAAAGGGUGCGCAGGUGGCCUGGUAAGUCUGACCUGAAAGUGGGCCGCUCAACGGCACAGGGUGGUUGGAUACUGCCGGGCUUGAAACAAGUGGAGGUCCUUGGAACGGAUCGUGUAGCGGUGAAAUGCAUAGAGAUGAUCCAGAACCCCGAUUGCGAAGGCAGGGGGGCUACGCUUGAUUUGACACUGAGGCACGAAAGCAUGGGGAGCAAACAGG
rnacentral:rRNA from 1 species